rnacentral:rRNA from 1 species
AGUCGAAGGUGAAGCGGGGCUUCGGCCCCGUGGAAACUGGCGCACGGGUGAGUAACGCGUGGGAAUCUACCCCGGGGUGGGGAAUAACCGCUGGAAACGGCGGCUAAUACCGCAUACGCCUUGCGAGGGAAAGCUUUAGCGCCCUGGGACGAGCCCGCGUCGGAUUAGCUUGUUGGUGAGGUAACGGCUCACCAAGGCUUCGAUCCGUAGCUGGUCUGAGAGGAUGAUCAGCCACACUGGGACUGAGACACGGCCCAGACUCCUACGGGAGGCAGCAGUGGGGAAUAUUGGACAAUGGGGGAAACCCUGAUCCAGCAAUGCCGCGUGAGUGAAAAAGGCCUUAGGGUUGUAAAACUCUUUCACCCGUGAAGAUGAUGACGGUAGCGGGAGAAGAAGCUCCGGCUAACUCCGUGCCAGCAGCCGCGGUAAUACGGAGGGGGCUAGCGUUGUUCGGAAUUACUGGGCGUAAAGCGCGCGUAGGCGGCUUAUCAAGUUAGGCGUGAAAGGCCUGGGCUCAACCCGGGAACUGCGCUUAAUACUGGUA